rnacentral:rRNA from 1 species
GACGAACGCUGGCGGCAUGCCUAACACAUGCAAGUCGAACGGAGAUUAUUUCGGUAAUCUUAGUGGCGAACGGGUGAGUAACGCGUAGGCAACCUGCCCUUUAGUUGGGGACAACAUCCCGAAAGGGGUGCUAAUACCGAAUGUGAUCACAUUUCCGCAUGGAAUUGUGAUGAAAGAUGGCCUCUAUUUAUAAGCUAUCGCUAAAGGAUGGGCCUGCGUCUGAUUAGCUAGUUGGUGGGGUAACGGCUCACCAAGGCGAUUAUCAGUAGCCGGUCUGAGAGGAUGAACGGCCACAUUGGGACUGAGACACGGCCCAG